GAGAAAAUGAAUGGAUGUUGCUGCUGUAAAAUAAAAAGAUUUCUGGAAUCUGUUAAUGAUAAGAGCAUCAGCAUCAUGAAUUGAUCAGGAUACGAUGAAUAAUUUAUCUCCUCUGUAACGGUAUACGAUGAAUAAUUUAGUUUGAUGGUUUUUGUGCAUGAAAUCUUUUUAUUUUACAGCAGCUACAUCCAUUCAUGAUAAG
rnacentral:pre_miRNA from 1 species